rnacentral:rRNA from 1 species
CAGAGGGGGCAAGCGUUGUUCGGAAUUACUGGGCGUAAAGGGCGCGUAGGCGGCCUGUUAAGUCGAACGUGAAAUCCCCAGGCUCAACCUGGGAACUGCGUCCGAUACUGGCAGGCUUGAAUCCGGGAGAGGGAUGCGGAAUUCCAGGUGUAGCGGUGAAAUGCGUAGAUAUCUGGAGGAACACCGGUGGCGAAGGCGGCAUCCUGGACCGGCAUUGACGCUGAGGCGCGAAAGCCAGGGGAGCAAACGGGAUUAGAUACCCCGGUAGUCCUGGCCCUAAACGAUGAAUGCUUGGUGUGGCGGGUAUCGAUCCCUGCCGUGCCGAAGCUAACGCAUUAAGCAUUCCGCCUGGGGAGUACGAUCGCAAGGCUG